UACAGAGGGUGCGAGCGUUAAUCGGAAUUACUGGGCGUAAAGGGUGCGUAGGUGGUUUAAUAAGUUAGGUGUGAAAGUCCUGGGCUUAACCUGGGGACUGCGCUUAAGACUGUAAGACUAGAGUACUGUAGAGGGAGGUGGAAUUUCCGGUGUAGCAGUGAAAUGCGUAGAUAUCGGAAGGAACAUCAGUGGCGAAGGCGACUUUCUGGACAGAUACUGACACUGAGGCACGAAAGCGUGGGGAGCAAACAGG
rnacentral:rRNA from 1 species